CCCUAUGGGGUGCAGCAGGCGCGAAAACUUGGCAAUGCGAGAAAUCGUGACCAGGGAACUCCAAGUGGCUGGGGUAAGACCCAGUCUUUUCUUGACUCUUCAAAGGUCUUGGAAUAAGGGGUGGGUAAGGACGGUGCCAGCCGCCGCGGUAAUACCGGCGCCUCAAGUGGUAGUCGAUUUUAUUGGGCCUAAAACGUCCGUAGCCUGUUUGGUACAUUCGUGGGUAAAUCAACCAGCUCAACUGGUUGAAUUCUGCGAGCACGGCCAGACUUGGGACCGGGAGAGGUGUGGGGUACGCUCAGGGUAGGGGUAAAAUCCUGUCAUCCUGAGCGGACCACCUGUUGCGAAGGCGCCACACUAGAACGGAUCCGACGGUCAGGGACGAAGCCUAGGGGCACGAACCGGAUUAGAUACCCGGGUAGUCCUAGGUGUAAACGCUGUGGACUUGGUGUUGGGGACUCUCCGAGAUUCCUCAGUGCCGAAGCGAAGGUGAUAAGUCCACUGCCUGGGGAGUACGGUCGCAAGGCUGAAACUUAAAGGAAUUGGCGGGGGAGCACCGCAACCUGAGGAUUGUGCGGUUUAAUUGGAUUCAACGCCGGAAAACUCACCAGUGCCGACGGACAAAUGAAAGCCAGUGUGAUGAGCUUGCUGGAUUGUUCGAGAGGAAGUGCAUGGCC
rnacentral:rRNA from 1 species